UAAUUAGGAAAAAGAAGAGGGGAAAAAACAUAUAUAGUUAUUCAUAUUACACAUGAACAUGUAUACUUGUGUAAAGUGUAUAUACAUUAAUCAUAACUCAAAAAUCAGUGUAUAAAAUUACUAUUCUAUACUAAUAUACUAUUCUAAAUUACUAAGUCUAUUCUAAAAGUUUUAUGUUUUUAAAUUGUUUUAAUAUAAUGUAUACAUAAACAUGUCUGUGAUAUAUUGUUUGCAGAUUAUUUUAUUAAGAUUUAGUAGGCUUACUAUAGACAGUGAACGUUAGCAGCUUGAUUUUACAAACUGAUAGUUUGUAGACGGUCCCUCAAAAAAGCGAUGACGUCACCUCCUUCAUAGAGUAGUGCGGGAAGCUGAUGGCGCUGAACACCUGGCCGAACAUGUGGAAGGCAUUGAAAAUGUUAGGGAUACACACCGCCACCAACAAGCGCUUCUGAAACGCCCCAAAUUCGCCGACGGCCGAGAGAAUCUCCGUGAAGUCGAUCAUGAUCUUCUGGUGACCAUCAGAAGCGACGGCGCGCUUUUAAACGGAGGAAAAUUAAUUUUUAAUCUUGUCACAGGUCCAAUAGUGUCUGGCAUUAUCUGCGCAGGCGAGCAGGUAAGAUAAAACGUUAAAAGAAACUGCAGGAAGGACAAUAUAAAAGUAUUUUUCUAUUUGAAUAUUACACAAUGUUUCAUCCUAUCCAAUGUAUGUAUUUGGAGUGAGGCUGUUUCUAACGAUUGAAUGUAACGAGGAAUGUCUGCAGUGUUUAUUUACAUUGUGUGUGUGUGUGUGUGUGUGUGUGAAUGAUGAACCCAAUACAGGCCUUUCUUUUUUUGCCAAUGAAGGCGGUCUUAAUAGUGUGGUAAUGAAGAUGUUUGCGAGGCCAAACACAAUAUUUAUACUAUGUACUGUAGUUACGUGACUAAUUGGAAAAACAAGAAACAAAAAUGUAGCAAAAAAAAGAAGAAAAUAGGAAAAAGGCACAUUAGGAUUAGAUUCAGUUACUAAACGGUUCACAAUGAGUUUUAAACACACAAAAAUGUGGGCAAAGGAAUAUCAAUAGUUUGAAAAACGUUUAUUACUAUUAUUAUGGAUAACUAUUAGUGAUUAUUAAAUAUCAACUUCUGGUUGAAUAUUGAAUCAAGAAUAUUUAAUGCAAAUGUUUCAAAUAACUCUUGUGAAACUAAAAACUCAAAACAUCAGAACAAUAAUGUCCCAUUGUCAUUCAACGUAACAGAUAUUUGAAAACGAAUUAAUAUACCGAUAUAUUAAUAUAACUUUACCGCAUAUCUUUGGACUGUGGGGGAAACCGGUGCAUCUGAAGGAAACCCACGCAAACGCAGGGAGAACAUGCAAACUCCACACAGAAACGCCAGCUGAUCCGGCCGAGGCUCGACCCAGCGACCUUCUUGCUGUGAGGUGACAGCACUACCUACUGCGCCACUGCGUCGCCCUAUUAGUAAUCAUAAUGAACGGUGUUAUAUUGGAAAUAAUUCUGCUUUACAUAAGCGAAUCCAUGGUGGCAAAAUAUAUCCAUUAAAAAUUACAAUUAAUUAGUAUUUUGGGGCUGUGAAGUGAUGCUUAAAUAAUCUUACCAAAUGUUUAUUGUGCUAAAUAUUUUUAUAUAUAAACAAAACAACAUUUUAAUGAAUGACUUCAGUAAAUCACCGUCCACGUAUAAUAUUGAAUAAUUUAUUGCUUUACUUUUUUAAAUGUAACAAUCCAAAAAAAAAAGAAAAAAAAGAAACUUAAAUCUUUAUUAGAUUUUGUGUAAUCACAACAUGUAAAUACAGUAAUAUAUACUGUAGUUAAAAAAAAAGAGACAUUUUAAGCACCUUUUAAAUGAAUUCUUUAUUGAUUUUAAGGCAUCUGAAAACAUGCCUUAAAUUCAAAACCAGGAAAAUAAAAUAAAAUUAGCUUUCAUUUAUUUAUUUUUAUUGCUUGCAGUAAACUGAAAGACUACUGCAACACUGUUUCACUUUAAGAAGUUUGGCAAGGACCUAUAGUGUGACUAUAAAUUAUAUAUAUAUUUUAUGAAAAUAAUAUGUAUUGUUGUUCUUAUAUAUAAUAACGUUGACCACAGAUCUGCAUCAUACUUUCACUUUCCAAAAGUCCUUAUUCAAAGCAAAACUCGCCUCUCCAAUGCAGGCAACUUUAUUAACAGUUUCCUAUUUUUUCGUGGACAGCAGUGUUGUGAUUGCAAAGAAAUGAAAAUGGAAAAAAAGACUUGUGCGUUAUUAAAGCUUUCUUUACAUCA